AAAGCGUGCGCAGGCGGUUCGGAAAGAGAGGUGUGAAAUCCCAGGGCUCAACCUUGGAACUGCACUUUUAACUACCGAGCUAGAGUAUGUCAGAGGGGGGUGGAAUUCCGCGUGUAGCAGUGAAAUGCGUAGAUAUGCGGAGGAACACCGAUGGCGAAGGCAGCCCCCUGGGAUAAUACUGACGCUCAUGCACGAAAGCGUGGGGAGCAAACAGGAUUAGAUACCCGUGU
rnacentral:rRNA from 1 species